rnacentral:misc_RNA from 1 species
UUUCCGUAGGUGAACCUGCGGAAGGAUCAUUCAUAAUAAAGUGUUUUAUGGCACUUACUAAAAAUCCAUAUCCACCUUGUGUGCAAUGUUAGAUCUCGUCAAUCUUGGCGAGAUUUUUAUACAUCAACUCAUUCUUUAACUAAUUUGUCUGAAAAAUAUUAUGAAUACCUAAUUCAAAAUACAACUUUCAACAACGGAUCUCUUGGCUCUC